GAAUGGUUCGCUGUUAUGUGACAAUUAGGUCAAAAACUCUAUUUUAUUUUUUGGUGUAGAUGGCCAAGGAAGUUGCACAGAACUUCCCCAACAUCCCCUCCCAAAUUAAUGGCUGAGGAUAUACUAAAAAUGUCUGAGUUCAACAAAGCCAACAACUGCGUCAUGUGUACCACUGAUGAAGAACCUGGAUGUGGCCCAAAGACUGACAGGGAAUGAAGACAAAAGAGUUCAACAGAGUAAAGAACACAAACUGGAAGUGCAGUCUUUGUUGUUGAAAAUGAAUGCUCUACCCCAUCCACACUGAAGAGGCUCUGAAAUGUACAUCAACCAGGGAUAAUGAGAACGUUAACACUGAAAUGUUUUAUACUUAUUUGAAGUUUAGUGUCUGUUGACAUGUUGGAAAAGAUU